AGAAGGUGAAGAUAGAGGCAUUCAAAUAUUUGCAUUCAGAUAGACGUGAAUUCAUGCGAUGGUAUUCAACUUACUCACGAAAAUAGUGUUCUCUUGUUCGAGCUGUGAAAUCUUUAUCUGUGGAGAUAAGCACACAAAAACUUUGAAUAACUCUGCUCCAAACUAUCCAAAAUCUAUGUAUUGAGAAGGCUGUGACCUGUGGCACUUGGAUUGCAGUUCCUGGAAAUGAUUAAACUGUGGUAAAAUGGCAGUAUUUGGACUCAAUUAUUAUUGCUGCAAAUGGAAGACGCAACAAUUGAGAUAUGUCAUCAAAUUGCAAGGAUAUUAUUUACCUCAACUGAGAAGCAUUCUCACAGCAGACGUGUGGACCUCAAGGCGAUUGAAUUUCAAUAAAGUGAAAUUUGUGCUUGUAAAGUGGUAGUAGUUAAUUAGUAGUUUAAGAAACAAACUCAUUUGUGAUGGCAAUUCUAAUUACCUAGAAAUACAAGCGAGCGAGCGAGAAUAA